rnacentral:tRNA from 1 species
GCGCCCGUGGCGGAACUGGCAGACGCGCCAGACUUAGGAUCUGGUGCCCUAGUGGCAUGGGGGUUCGAGUCCCUCCGGGCGCA